CCCAACUCUCAUACACUGGCCUUCCAUAGCACCAAUCAUACUGCCUCUCUCGCCCGUAGCCAAGCUGGUAACACGGUCCCCCACCACGCCCCUCAGAACAUUCCGUGCAACAUGCCCUAACAGGUGAGUAACACGGUCCACCACCACGCCCCUCGGAACAUUCCCUGCAACAUGCCCUAACAGGUGAGUAACACGGUCCCCCACCACGCCCCUCGGAACAUUCCCUGCAACAUGUCCUAAUUGGUGAGUAACACGGUCCCCCACCACGCCCCUCGGAACAUUCCCUGCAACAUGUCCUAACGGGUAGGUAACACGGAACGGGCUCCGGAGCCGGUGCCGGUGCCGGAGGCGGCGGUGGGGCUGGUGAUGGUUUUGGUUGGGGAGCCGGUGCCGGGGGUGGUGGCGAUGGUGAAGGUUUCGGUGGUGGUGGUGACGGUUUUGGUUCCGGAGCCGGUGCCGGCGGUGGUUUUGGUUUUGGCGGCGGCGGCGGCUUUGGCUUUGGUGGUUCCAGGAUUUCAAUAGUCUUGAUUGAACCAUCACCUUUGCAGCAUAGCUUGUCCCUGAUCUUUUCAGGACUGCAGCACACUACUUUUAUUGUCACCGUAUUCGUCUUCUCAUCGAAAAACUGUUCUUGUAUUUCUUUGGUCAAAAAGUUCAAACACAAUAUCUUAGCCCACCAUCCGCCAGCCAUUUUUUUAUUUGCAAACACAAAAUAAACAAUUCUACUUGCGCCUCACCAAAUGACACGCGAAUUCAGAAUUUUAUGCCAUUAUAAAACAUUUUACGAAACCAUAAUAUAUAAUAUAUGUAAAUGGACAUGGCCAGCGAUCAGAGAGACACUUACGUGGGAAUUUGCACAGUACUUUCUUGACUUUCUUGUAGCACUUUGAGCACUGAAG
rnacentral:lncRNA from 1 species